AGAGCGAACGCUGGCGGCAGGCCUAACACAUGCAAGUCGAGCGCCCGUAGCAAUACGGGAGCGGCAGACGGGAUAGUAACACGUGGGAACGCGCCCUUCGGUUCGGAAUAACUCAGGGAAACUUGAGCUAAUACCGGAUACGCCCUUACGGGGAAAGAUUUAUUGCCGAAGGAACGGCCCGCGUCCGAUUAGCUAGUUGGUGAGGUAAUGGCUCACCAAGGCGACGAUCGGUAGCUGGUCUGAGAGGAUGACCAGCAUCACUGGGACUGAGACACGGCCCAGACUCCUACGGGAGGCAGCAGUGGGGAAUAUUGGACAAUGGGCGCAAGCCUGAUCCAGCCAUGCCGCGUGGAUGAUGAAGCCUUAGGGUGUAAAGUCCUUUAACGGGAAGAUAAUGACGGUACCGUAGAAUAAGCCCCGGCUAACUUCGUGCCAGCAGCCGC
rnacentral:rRNA from 1 species